rnacentral:misc_RNA from 1 species
GAUGAAGAACGCAUCGAAAUGCGAUAAGUAAUGUGAAUUGCAGAAUUCAGUGAAUCAUCGAAUCUUUGAACGCACCUUGCGCCCUUUGGACAUUCCGAAGGGCAUGCCUGUUUGAGUAUCAUGAACACCUCAACUCUCACGGCUUGUCCGUGAUGAGCUUGGACUUUGGGGGUCUUGCCGGCCUGUGGUCGGCUCCUCUCAAAUGGAUCAGCUUGCCAGUGUUUGGUGGCAUCACAGGUGUGAUAACUAUCUGCGCUUGUGGUUUUCCAUCAGAUAACCUUCAGUGAUAUGGAGGUUCGCUGGAGCUCACAAAUGUCUCUCCUUAGUGAGGACAGCUCUUUGAACGUUUGAUCUCAAAUCAGGUAGGACUACCCGCUGAACUUAAGCAUAUCAAUAAGCGGAGGA